CCUGUCUGUCUCACCCCAGCAGGUGUGGCUGCUGUGUCUCCUGUGUGUCAGUAGGUGGCAGAGAGGAGAGGCAAUGGUUAGGCUCAGUGUUCUGACCUAUGAACAUCUGAGUAAAUGAGCCUGAGAGA